ensembl:lncRNA
CAAGGAGAGGGAGACAGUGAGAGAAAGACAAGGAGAGGGAGACAGCGAGAGAAAGGGAGAGAGACAGGUGGAGAGAGAGAUAUUGUGACAGACAAGAAGAAGACAAAGAGAAGAGACAGAAGGGGAGAGAGGACCCCUUGACUCAAGGCCCAUUGUGCACAGAGCACUAUAUGAGUUAUGACACGUUCAUCUGGGCUCUUCUGAAGUGGGUAAUUGUGGGUAACUGUCUAAUAGAGAAACUGAUCACCGUUAAAUGCUGAGGAUUUCUCUGCCGACGCAGUUCAUUUCCCGACAGUGGCACUGAUCGCUCUUUCACACUCUCUGAAGUUUCUGUGCUGGGUACGAAUGCACUGCCGUUCCUCAGCCGACUGUGGUCAUUAGUGGCUGUUGGCAGAACAGUGUGUGAUGCUUUUUAAUAAAUAAAAUUUGAUUUUCACAUGUAGGAGGGGGGAAAAGAACCGACUGCAAAUUAAUGACUGAAAUUCUCACUGUGGCUGACAGUGAAUUCAGAAUACUCAGAGUUUUCCACAGUAAAUCAAAGAUGACAAGUAAUUUUGCGGGGCAAAGUGACAAAAGCUUGACUGAUUACCGGACCAUCGAUACCAAUUUCCAGUGCUGCUCUUCCGUCUCUCUGGCGGCUGGAGGUUUUUCUGUGUGUUUAGAUUGGUGUGUGUUUAGAUUGGUGUAUUGGUGUGUGUGUGUGUGGAGUUUUUCUGUGUGUUUAGAUUGGUGUGUGUUUAGAUUGGUG